UGGGGGAUAGCUCAGUCGGUAGAGCAUGAGACUCUUAGUUCUCAAGGUUGUUGUGGGUUCAAGCUGUUAGGAUAUUUCCGUUCCACCUUAAAAG